UCAUCUGUCUUUUCAUCAGAUUAGUUAUGACUUUAUGGUUUUAUUAGGUCUACAGUUUUUUUCUUAGUUUCAAACAUAUUUAUUUUUGACAUCGUUUUCAAUUCAGUUUUCUUUUCAUUACUCUUUAACCCUUUGUUUGCUAGUUUAGUUCAGAUUUCACUUGUUUCUGACAUUCACUUUUUGCAGUGAAUUUAGAUACCAAGGGAAAGACUGAACCAAAAAUAAAUAAAUCACAAACCAUAACAAAGUUUAAGACUUGUUAAUUUAGGACAAAUGAACAACCAUGUUAGUCACAAAAAACAUCCAGCAAAGGAUCUUUCAAAACUUGGGAAAACCCAACAGCAGCCAGGCUCUUUAGAGUUUUUAAUGAGGAAUUUUAAGGUUGGUGGGAUUUUCCCCUUUAAUAAAGUCCCUCAUACUUGAUCUUGUUUUUAUCUAAACAUUUAUAUUCACACUAAUCCCAAAUUGGACUCUGACACUUUCUCCCAACGUGCUGACAUGACACUAGAUGUGGAUGGAUCAACAGCAACAUGGAUUACAUGAUUUAUAUACUGCCAUCUGCUGGCACAAUGUGGGACAGCAAGA